UGUAUAGUUCGGCUGCUGUGGAGGGAGGUUUUUGGCCACAGUUGACUGGAAGGAAAUUCAGUGAAAAUAGUGCAAUUCAUUUUGCUGUGCAGUGAAGUGUGUGGGAAGAAGAUUAUGUGAAAUACAAAAUUUAGUGAUGGAAGGUGCAAACUAAUUGAGGAAUCAGUGAAGGAAGGUUAAGAGAGAAGUUAGGAAUUAUCAGACACAUACAUGCAAAGAGAACGUUUUGGAGUGACUUACAAUCGUAGAAGAGUCCGUAGAAAGGAAUUGGAAGAGACAACUUGGCAAGGAGGUAACUAAUGCAAAUUAAAGUUUUAAAUGUAAUUAUUGUUAAUUUUACAUUGUAUAUUGGCAUUUGAAUGAAUGCAAGAGAAAGAUGCAUUACAAGUAAUUCUCAUGCUAAAGGAUAUUCCUAACUUGGUUCCAUAUAUGAAAGACCUCUUAUAUAUUUGAAUCAUGAG